CCUCUCUUGCUUUUUCCCUCUCAACUAAUCAUACACAAGUCUUCACAUUAUAUCCAUCCGUUAAAAAGUUACUCUUCUCCUUGACCUUCUCUUUUCAACCCUUUUCCUCCAAGGCCGAAUUCUAAAGAGAAGACCUCCCUCCACAUUGCACUUUCUCAGCUGCUAUCUAGUUCCCAGCCCCUCUACACUGGUAUCACUCUGCACAAAGUGCUCUCUUAAAGGUCAUCAUGACCUCAAAUUUGAUUAACUGCCAAAUCCAAAAGGCCUCUUCUUAGCCAUUCUCUUUCAUCUUGUCAUGAUUCACAUUAUUCUCAGCUUCUAUUGGAAUUUCUUUUCUCCCUACUCCUUCUAAUUUGGCUCACUGGCUUCUUUCUCCUCUGGUUCUUUAAAUAGUAUUUCUUCAAGAUUCCAUUGUGCUCUCCAAUUUUCCUCAACCCUAGUUGAUAUCCCCUAGCUGACCAGCUAUGAAAAGGGCUGCCAAAAUGCAGCUAAGCUCAGCCUGGACUUGUAGAGAAACAGGCCUCCUUUCUGAUCCCAUUAUCCUCCCAGCACAUAGGUACUGCAGGUGCCUGGAGCUCUACACGUUUUUUUUUUUUUUUUAGUUAUACAUAAUGAUGGGAUUUGAUGUUACAUAUUUAUGCGUGCACACAAUAUAACAGUAUCCUCAAACUCACAGUCCUCCUACUUCAGCCACUCUUGGGCAGCUGAGAUUACAGGCAUGUGCUCUCAGCUCCUCUCUGAGGUUUGAUAAACAGCCACUGAGCUCCUGCUCAUCUCCCUCCUGAUUUCCUGUCUCAACCAGGGGAUGGCUUCUUCCUACCUCCACAUGGUGGGCUCCAGCCAACUUCAGCUCUUGCAAUCCAUUCCCCAGUCCCCACAUCUGGUUACCUGAUGCCCACGGAGCCCCUCACUGAGGACCUUCUCUUCUUUCAACGCCUGCAGCUGUACUGAGCCCUGUCAUUUCUUUUCUUGGCAGAUGCAUCAGCAUUUUUCUUUUCUGCCCAUCAGAACUAGAGUCCAUGUGUGAAGAUCCAUAUGUGGGCUUCAGCUUCCCACCCCACCUUCUCUCCUAUUCUGGGUCCACCAUUUUACAGUUGCUGACCCACAGAGAAUGGUGGAGCAGCUUUGUUUUAGCCUACAAUUUUACUGUAGCAUCAUCUUAUAAGGGUUAGGAAGGUGAAU
rnacentral:lncRNA from 1 species